rnacentral:rRNA from 1 species
CAUUACCGAGUGAGGGCCCUCUGGGUCCAACCUCCCACCCAUGUUUAUUGUACCUUGUUGCUUCGGCGGGCCCGCCUCACGGCCGCCGGGGGGCUUCUGCCCUCUGGCCCGCGCCCGCCGAAGACACCAUUGAACACUGUCUGAAGAUUGCAGUCUGAGCAAUUAGCUAAAUAAGUUAAAACUUUCAACAACGGAUCUCUUGGUUCCGGCAUCGAUGAAGAACGCAGCGAAAUGCGAUACGUAAUGUGAAUUGCAGAAUUCAGUGAAUCAUCGAGUCUUUGAACGCACAUUGCGCCCCUUGGUAUUCCGGGGGGCAUGCCUGUCCGAGCGUCAUUGCUGCCCUCAAGCACGGCUUGUGUGUUGGGCCCCGUCCUCCUUCCCGGGGGACGGGCCCGAAAGGCAGCGGCGGCACCGCGUCCGGUCCUCGAGCGUAUGGGGCUUUGUCACCCGCUCUUGUAGGCCCGGCCGGCGCUUGCCGACAACCAUCAAUCUUUUUUCAGGUUGACCUCGGAUCAGGUAGGGAUACCCGCUGAACUUAAGCAUAUCAUAGC